GACGAACGCUGGCGGCGUGCUUAACACAUGCAAGUCGAACGGAAAGGCCCUGCUUGCAGGGUACUCGAGUGGCGAACGGGUGAGUAACACGUGGGUGAUCUGCCCUGCACUUCGGGAUAAGCCUGGGAAACUGGGUCUAAUACCGGAUAGGAGCCAUUUUUAGUGUGAUGGUUGGAAAGUUUUUUCGGUGUAGGAUGAGCUCGCGGCCUAUCAGCUUGUUGGUGGGGUAAUGGCCUACCAAGGUGGCGACGGGUAGCCGGCCUGAGAGGGUGGACGGCCACAUUGGGACUGAGAUACGGCCCAGACUCCUACGGGAGGCAGCAGUGGGGAAUAUUGCACAAUGGGCGCAAGCCUGAUGCAGCGACGCCGCGUGGGGGAUGACGGCAUUCGGGUUGUAAACUCCUUUCGCUAGGGACGAAGCUUUUUGUGACGGUACCUAGAUAAGAAGCACCGGCUAACUACGUG
rnacentral:rRNA from 1 species